GGUCAAGCUACUAAGGGCGCGCGGUGGAUGCCUUGGUGUCAGAGGCCGAUGAAGGACGCGGUAAGGCUGCGAUAAGCUCCGUUUAGCUGCCAAACAAGCUGAGGCGGAGAUUUCCGAAUGGGGUAACCCAGCCAGGCAAAACCUGGCUACUCCGGACUGAACACAUAGGUCCGGUAGAGGGCACCGGGGGAACUGAAACAUCUAAGUACCCCGAGGAAAAGAGAUUAUUCCCCUAGUAGUGGCGAGCGAACGGGGAAAAGCCCAAACCGUGAGGGUUCGCCCUUGCGGGGUUGUAGGGCCUGUCAUUGUGGAGUUACCAAUCGCACGGCUAGAAGAACGGUCCUGGAAAGGCCGGCCAAAGAGGGUGAGAGCCCCGUAAGCGAAAGCUGCUGCGACUUCCGACAGGUACCUGAGUACCACGGGACACGUGAAACCCCGUGGGAA
rnacentral:rRNA from 1 species